rnacentral:rRNA from 1 species
CGUAUACAACCUACCUACCAGCGGGGGACAACAGAGAGAAAUCACUGCUAAUACCGCAUAACAUAUAUUUAUAGCAUUAUAGAUAUGUCAAAGGCUUCGGUCACUGGUAGAUGGGUAUGCGUCUGAUUAGUUAGUUGGAGUGGUAACGGCACCCCAAGGCAACGAUCAGUAGCUGGUUUGAGAGGAUGAUCAGCCACACUGGAACUGAGACACGGUCCAG